AGUCGAACGAACCUUCGGGUUACUGGCGGACGGGUGAGUAACGCGUGGGAAUCUGCCCUCAGGAGGGGGAUAACGGCUGGCAACGGCCGCUAAUACCCCAUAUGCCGAGAGGUGAAAUGAAUUUCGCCUGAGGAUGAGGCCGCGUCUGAUUAGGUAGUUGGUGAGGUAAGAGCUCACCAAGGCAUCGAUCAGUAGCUGGUCUGAGAGGAUGAUCAGCCACACUGGGACUGAGACACGGCCCAGACUCCUACGGGAGGCACCAGUGGGGAAUUUUCCGCAAUGGGCG
rnacentral:rRNA from 1 species